GAGGGUAGAGCUCAAGUCAUAGAGUGCAUGCUUAGCACGCAUGAAGUCCUGGGUUCAAUCCCCAGUACCACCU
rnacentral:tRNA from 1 species